GACGAACGCUGGCGGCGUGCUUAACACAUGCAAGUCGAGCGGUAAGGCCCUUUCGGGGGUACACGAGCGGCGAACGGGUGAGUAACACGUGGGUGACCUGCCCUCAGCUCUGGGAUAAGCCUGGGAAACCGGGUCUAAUACUGGAUAUGACUCCAUGACGCAUGUUGUGGGGUGGAAAGCCUUGUGCGGCUGAGGAUGGGCCUGCGGCCUAUCAGCUUGUUGGUGGGGGAUGGCCUACCAAGGCGACGACGGGUAGCCGGCCUGAGAGGGCGACCGGCCACACUGGGACUGAGACACGGCCCAGACUCCUACGGGAGGCAGCAGUGGGGAAUCUUGCGCAAUGGGCGAAAGCCUGACGCAGCGACGCCGCGUGAGGGAUGACGGCCUGGUGUAACUC
rnacentral:rRNA from 1 species